CAACUCGAUUAGAUGGAAUUUAGUGUAAUUAAAGAUAUUUCACUGAAAACACUGGUUUAUAUAGCAAUAACAGAACAUCAGAAACAGCAAAGAAUUGUUUCCGUCAGAGACAUUGUCAACAUCCAUCUUCUUAGAAGAACCAAAGAAAAAUCUUUAUAAAGACCAUAUAUAGAACAACACUGUUUAUCUAAAUCCAUGGUGACUUCCUGGUAACAUCUCUUUAGAACUGAGAUAAAUAUCAGCAAUUGUCUUCAAUUCCUGAAAAGUUCACAAACUGAUUUUGGAUCCUAAUUUCUCUUUUCCAUUUCAUAUGAUUUAUACGAAAUCAUUUCUCAUACUUAUUUUGAAAUUGGAAGAAUUUAUAAAAAGGUUUGCAGCAUCUUCAGAUAUCACCAAAGGUCAGAGUUGAGGGAGAUUUAAUAUCGAGAAGAUUUGGGGAGGAAU